GGCCUGGUAGCCAAGUAGCUAAGGCAACGGUCUGCAAAACCGUUAUACGUGGGUGCAACUCCCGCCCAGGCCUCCA
rnacentral:tRNA from 1 species